AACCCUAUAUAGGAUUGGGAACUCAAGUACGUCCAUAGGAACCACAGCCUCGUCUUCGAUGCCCAGCUCUAUCGGGAGCCCUGUCCGGACGUUUACCUGUUCCCGUUGUUUUCGCCCCGUUUCUGCUCCGACCUAUUGGACGAGGUUCAGCGUUAUGGGAUUUGGGGUCGGCAACAGCAACAGCCCGGUGCUGAGUCGGUUCCGCUGUCGCUGCUGUCGCUGGUUCCGUCGUAUCUCGGGGCCCUGAGACGGUUCAUGGGACCCACGGCCCUAAAACUGUACCCGGGAUAUAGGAUGCAGGGCCGUGCCGUGCUGAGCUCCGUGUUCCGGUACCGCCCCCCAUCGGACGAAGCUCCGCCCCCCGACCCCCAUCAUGGCCCCCCAGCAGCCACCGUCACCGUCACCGUGGGGCUGGGGGGGCAACACGAAGGUGGGGGCUGGCGCUUCCCCCGCUACAACUGCACGGUGGGGGUCCCCCCCCCAGGCUGGGCCCUGCUGCACCCGGGGAGGUUGACACACAGAGCUGAGCUGCUGCCCACAACCGGGGGAACCCACUACGCGCUGGUGACGCUGCUGGACCCAUGAGGGACUAUGCCUGUUUAUGAAUGGAUCCCAUCCACCAAUGAUGGCCUCUUUAUGAAUGGAUCCCAGCCAUUUACAGCCAGUUUAUGAAUGGAACCCAGUCAUCACUCACUGUUUAUGAAUGGAUCUCAGUCAUCAAUGAUGGCCUGUCUAUGAAUGGAUAUCAGCCAUUUACUCCCUGUUUAUGAAUGGAUCUCAGUCAUCAUUUACUCCCUGUUUAUGAAUGGAUCCCAGUCAUUUACUGCCUGUCUAUGAAUGGAACCCAGUUAUCACUCCCUGUCUAUGAAUGGAUCUCAGUCAUUUAGUGCCUGUCUAUGAAUGGAUCUCAUCCACCAAUGACGGCCUGUUUAUGAAUGGAUCCCAGUCAUCACUCACUGUUUAUGAAUGGAUCUCAGUCAUCAAUGACGGCCUGUUUAUGAAUGGAUCUCAAUCAUUCACUGCCUGUCUAUGAAUGGAUCUCAGUCACUCGUUGCCUGUUUAUGAAUGGAUUUCAGUUAUCACUCCCUGUUUAUGAAUGGAUCUCAAUCAUUCCCUGCCUGUUUAUGAAUGGAACCCAGUUAUCGCUCCCAGUUUAUGAAUGGAUCCCAGUCAUCACUCACUGUUUAUGAAUGAAUCCCAUCCACCAAUGACAGCCUGUUUAUGAAUGGAUCCCAGUCAUCACUCCCUGUUUAUGAAUGGAUCCCAUCCUCCAAUGACGGCCUGUUUAUGAAUGGAUCUCAGCCAUCACUCACUGUUUGUGAAUGGAUCUCAGUCAUUUACAGCCUGUAUAUGAAUGGAUCUCAUCCACCAAUGACGUCCUGUUUAUGAAUGGAUCUCAGUCAUCAAUGACGUCCUGUCUAUGAAUGGAUAUCAGCCAUUUACUCCCUGUCUAUGAAUGGAUCUCAGUCAUUCACUGCCUGUUUAUGAAUGGAUCCCAGUUAUCACUCCCUGUUUAUGAAUGGAUCUCAGUCACUACUGACUGUCUGUUUAUGAAUAGAUCUUGACCACCAAUGACUGCCUCUU